rnacentral:rRNA from 1 species
AAUCAUCGGCAAUGGGGGAAACCCUGACCGUGCAAUGCCGCGUGAGUGAUGAAGGCCUUAUGGGUUGUAAAGCUCUGUUGCGAAGGAAGAACAAUCUAGAUAGAAUCUAGAUCUGACGGUACUUCGCCAGAAAGCCAUGGCUAAAUACGUGCCAGCAGCCGCGGUAAUACGUAGAUGGCAAGCGUUAUCCGGAUUUAUUGGGCGUAAAGGGUGCUCAGCUGGUUUAUUAAGUCUGUAGUUAAAUUUCGGGGCUCAACUCCGAACUGCUGCGGAAACUGGUAAACUUGAGUACAGGAGAGGGUAGUGGAAUUCCAUGUGAAGCGGUAAAAUGCGUAGAUAUAUGGAGGAACACCAGUGGCGAAGGCGGCUACCUGGCCUGUAACUGACGGUCAAGCACGAAAGCGUGGGGAGCAAAUA